CUGCAGUUUUCCAGACAUUCUCGAACACGCUGUGUAUUGUUGCUUCAAAAGGUGUUUGCUAAAGCUGAAACCAUGAAGGCUCUGGUCUGCGUUCUUGUCCUGAUGCUCGUAUGCAGCACUACUGUGCACUCCCUCCAGUGCUUCACUUGUGUGGGCGACGACUGCAAGGUCAGAACCGAAUGCCCCCCGUCUGCCAACUUCUGCAAGACCGAGGCCACCGCACAUUCUUUGUCCCGCACAUGUGAGGAGUCCUGCACAGUUGGGGAGAACAUCCACUGCUGCGAUCAUGACUUGUGCGGCUGAACGUCUCUCUGUCCAGUCUACAAAUAGCCUUGUUAUGCAUGAAGAAUCAUUUCUCAGUUAUUGAUCGGCAAAUUUAAAAUGUAAACACUAAUCAGUAUAUAGAGAAAAUGUAGUAAGUAUGGGCACUUACAAAACUCAAUAAAAAAUAAUUGCGAUAAA
rnacentral:lncRNA from 1 species